rnacentral:tRNA from 1 species
GGUCCGUUGGCCCAAUGGUAAGGCGUCUGACUACGACUAUUAGUAGUUAAUCAGGAGAUUCUGGGUUCGACCCCCAGGCGGACCU